GUGUGUAACAGGCUAAUAGUACCAUCUGCUUUCCAUUGCCCUAAGGAGUGAUUCUACUGCGGCAACGAGACCAAAUACAACGAAAGUAUUGAUGCUGCAAAAGAAGACGGAUCUUUUGGUAGGCUGGUUAAUGAUGACCACAAGCACCCAAAUGGCAGAAUGCAGAAGACUGAAGUGGAUGGAAGCCCACAUCUUGGUCUGUUUGCUUUAACAGACUUUAAAGAAGGUGAUGAAAUUACCUACAAUUACGUAGGAGGAGACUGGCCUUGGUGUAGCAAGGUAAAACAUCUACUCUGAAAAAGAGGAAGGCUCGGGAAGGAAAUGAGGUCCAUGCAGUGGAGAGACAUAUGAAGACCUUCAUCAUGUCAUGUCGUGUCCCAGGGAAGUUGGUCUGUGAAAACUGCAUUAGAUCUGAGCCUUUAGCUCUUAAAGAUAGAGACUGGUAAAGUGUCAAAUUCUACGUCUAUAACUGCACUGUAGCUUACAAAAGAGAUAUUAACAAAGAUUAAAUAACACUUUGAUAGUAACACUUUACAUCUAUAUUACAGAUACUGUACAUCAUAACAUCUGUAGUAAUGCUUUAAUAAUAAGUUACGUUACACCUCUACCCUUUUACUUUGUAAUGAAACACUCAGCAUUUACUUCAUCAUAAACUAAUCAGGAACAAAUCAGGCAUUUAAAAUAUCCAUUAGAAUCUUUACCUACACCGUUAUAUUGAAUUAGAUCAAAUUGGUUUGGGCCGCCUUCUUCCAGUGGGUCCUUAUGCAGGUGACUGACAAGUUCAUGAGUAAGCCUAUUGGGCAAUAAAAGCUUCAGUGUCCUACCCAUUUACAUGUUUAGACUGCCUGGAAUCAAAAUUAGCUACCUCAACAUAUAUUAUUAAGUUGUUACUAUCACUUUUUAGCUUAGUCAGUUAAGUGGAUAUAGAAU